UGAGGAACAUGACCUUCGGCGGGGGAUAGCCGGCCCAACGGCCGGGUAAUACCGCGUACGACCACAUGGGGACAUCCCUGAGUGGUGAAAGCAGCAAUGCGCCGAUGGAGUGCCUCGCGGCCUAUCAGCUAGUUGGUGAGGUAACGCUCACCAAGGCAACGACGGGUANCUGGUCUGAGAGGAUGGCCAGCCACAGUUGGGACUGGAGACGCGGCCCAGACCUCGUAACCGGGGAGG
rnacentral:rRNA from 1 species